rnacentral:lncRNA from 1 species
UACUCUUGAGAGGCUCCAGGCAGAAAAUGCAGCCCCAGCCCCAAAAGUAGCCAGAAGUCAGAGGCCACCAAAGUCUGUUUCCCCACAGGCCGAAGUCUCUCUGAUGCUCUCGACUCCAUGAACGACAAAUAGAAAAAGAAACAAAAUGUGACUUUAAGUGCACUGCGUGGUGCUAUAGUGACUUAACGGAGGGCACCGUAUGGUGCUAUAGUGACUUAACGGAGGGCACCGUAUGGUGCUAUAGUGACUUAACGGAGGGCACCGUAUGGUGUUAUAAUGACUUAAAGUGCACUGCGCAGUGCUAUAGUGACUUAACACAGUGCAUUUCUUACAGGGCCUGACAAAAAGAGGCAAAAAUCCCACAGCAUGAGAGUAAUGAGGCUAAAGUUAUUUUCAAAUUAUUGUUUUUUGACAAAAUACUAUAAGGAUAUCUGAGAACAAACACUCAGGUCAGUAAAAAGAUUUGGAAACAGCAAGGAAACAGCCAAUGCUGUUCAUGUAACAAAACUCACCGUGUCCAGGCCCCACAACAGCCAUCCCAGGGCACCUCCUGCCUGGUGGUGAGGGCAGGCUCCCCGACGGCCGGCGUACAGUCUGGUGGACGCGUCACAGGCUCAAUCUGAUCCCCUAGCCUGUGGCUUUAAGCCUCCUUAUCCCCUCCCCCGCCCCCAGUCCUGGCCGGGCCCGGAGAGUCUCACUAAAAUACACCAUGCUGCCGACCCACCUCAGUAAAUAAAUCGUUUUCUAAAACGACAGAUGAUGCAAGAGGAUGAAGAUCUAUUUUAAGAGACUCAUCAAAAGUCACUAUAAACAAACUCUCAGGUCACAGAAAUCCAGUUUCAGGACCUGGGAUCUUUGUGUUAAAUACACGCCCAAACGGGAUGUACUGGGGUUGGGAGAGAGGUGGGGGUGGGUUGGUUUCUGCAAGAUACGCAUCCUCCCUCCCCGAGACCCCUGCACGGAGAAGCCCAGCAAGGCCAGUGUUCCGUCUUCCUACUCC